rnacentral:rRNA from 1 species
AGAGUUUGAUCAUGGCUCAGAACGUACGCUGGCGGCACGCCUAACACAUGCAAGUCGAACGAAGUAGCAAUACUUAGUGGCAGACGGGUGAGUAACAUGUAGGUAUCUGCCCUUUGGCCUGGAAUAACACGAGGAAACUUGUGCUAAUACCGGAUAAGUCUUUACGGAGAAAGCUUUAUGCACCAUUGGAUGAGCCUGCACUUGAUUAGUUUGUUGGUGGGGUAAUGGCCUACCAAGACUGUGAUCAAUAGCUGAUUUGAGAGGAUGAUCAGCCACAUUGGGACUGAGACACGGCCCAAACUCCUACGGGAGGCAGCAGUGGGGAAUCUUGCACAAUGGAGGAAACUCUGAUGCAGCGAUGCCGCGUGAGUGAAGAAGGCCCUUGGGUUGUAAAGCUCUUUCGUCGGGGAAGAAAAUGACUGUACCCGAAUAAGAAGGUCCGGCUAACUUCGUGCCAGCAGCCGCGGUAAUACGAAGGGACCUAGCGUAGUUCGGAAUUACUGGGCUUAAAGAGUUCGUAGGUGGUUGAAAAAGUUGGUGGUGAAAUCCCAGAGCUUAACUCUGGAACUGCCAUCAAAACUUUUCAGCUAGAGUAUGAUAGAGGAAAGCAGAAUUUCUAGUGUAGAGGUGAAAUUCGUAGAUAUUAGAAAGAAUACCAAUUGCGAAGGCAGCUUUCUGGAUCAUUACUGACACUGAGGAACGAAAGCAUGGGUAGCGAAGAGGAUUAGAUACCCUCGUAGUCCAUGCCGUAAACGAUGUGUGUUAGACGUUGGAAAUUUAUUUUCAGUGUCGCAGCGAAAGCGAUAAACACACCGCCUGGGGAGUACGACCGCAAGGUUAAAACUCAAAUGAAUUGACGGGGACCCGCACAAGCAGUGGAGCAUGUGGUUUAAUUCGAAGAUACGCGCAGAACCUUACCAACACUUGACAUGUUCGUCGCGACUCUAAGAGAUUAGAGUUUUCGGUUCGGCCGGACGAAACACAGGUGCUGCAUGGCUGUCGUCAGCUCGUGUCGUGAGAUGUUGGGUUAAGUCCCGCAACGAGCGCAACCCUCACUUUUAGUUGCCAUCAUUAAGUUGGGCACUCUGAAAGAACUGCCAGUGAUAAGCUGGAGGAAGGUGGGGAUGACGUCAAGUCCUCAUGGCCCUUACGUGUUGGGCUACACACGUGCUACAAUGGUAUCUACAACAGGAAGCAAGACUGCGAAGUUAAGCAAAUCCCUAAAAGAUACCUCAGUUCGGAUUGCACUCUGCAACUCGAGUGCAUGAAGCUGGAAUUACUAGUAAUCGUGGAUCAGCGUGCCACGGUGAAUGCGUUCCCGGGUCUUGUACACACCGCCCGUCACACCAUGGGAGUUGGUUCUACCUUAAGGCAAGGUUUCAAACCCUUGACCACGGUAUAGUCAGCGACUGGGGUGAAGUCGUAACAAGGUAGCCGUAGGGGAACCUGCGGCUG